ACCUUCUUACUUAAGCUCUGUACUAAAAUUAUAGAAAGUAGUAACCGUGUCUUAGUAUUUAUAAAUAAAGCAGCAGAGUAAACAAAAGAAGAGAAACAACUAUACCAGAUAAUAGAAAAACUGAGCUGAGGGGCGCCUGGGUGGCGCAGUCGGUUAAGCGUCU